AGAGCGAACGCUGGCGGCAGGCCUAACACAUGCAAGUCGAGCGCCCCGCAAGGGGAGCGGCAGACGGGAGAGUAACACGUGGGAACGUACCCUUCAGUUCGGAACAACCCAGGGAAACUUGGGCUAAUACCGAAUACGUCCGUAAGGAGAAAGAUUUAUCGCUGAAGGAUCGGCCCGCGUCUGAUUAGCUAGUUGGUGAGGUAACGGCUCACCAAGGCUACGAUCAGUAGCUGGUCUGAGAGGAUGAUCAGCCUCACUGGGACUGAGACACGGCCCAGACUCCUACGGGAGGCAGCAGUGGGGAAUAUUGGACAAUGGGCGCAAGCCUGAUCCAGCCAUGCCGCGUGGAUGAUGAAGGCCUUAGGGUUGUAAAGUCCUUUCGACGGGGAAGAUAAUGACGGUACCCGUAGAAGAAGCCCCGGCUAACUUCGCGCCAGCAGCCGC
rnacentral:rRNA from 1 species